rnacentral:lncRNA from 1 species
UCGUAAUCAUGAGAUUUGGACUACCGAAAUUAGCAUCCUGUUUCUGUGCCUCUGUGUUAAUCAGUACUCAGUUAAUCAGUCUAUGAUUCUACAAGCUGCUAUUUUUUCGAAGCCCAACUCGUCGGGGGUACUUGCUACGACCUUUAAUGCUGUUAUCAGGAAGUCUAGGCUUCUGGCCAUGUAUCAUUAAAUCGGACAACGGAUUUUUUUAUGUUCUAUAUCUGAAUGUGGGAACAACUCCAACAUUUUAACGGUAUAAAAGGCGGUGAUCCGCGCAGUUGUAGUAGAAGGGAGUAGGAAGAGUAUUCCGUCAAACCUGCGGGAAUGAUACCUUAAAUCUGUAAAAGAAAAGUUUGAAUUAUUUCAGAUUGUCCUUAUGGACCACCCUCCCCUUAAUUAGAACUGCCGUUCCAAGGUCCGCUUGUACCCGUUCUUCUGAGUACAGCGGGGUUAGCUUGUUCCCUAGUCUUUUGUUAUUCCUUGGGUAAACCUUUUCACCCACUUCAAAGACUCUGUUCUGCCUUGAGAUGUUAAACCUGUCGAUA